UGUGCCCGUCGGUCGGUGGCGUCAUCUUCUGACAUGGCGCCAUAGGCUUCAGCUGGCCGCCACUGCUGGAAAAGUAGUACGAGGAGGAGGGGGGAGGGUACGAGUCUCCUGCAACCGACGGAUUUCUCCGUCCCCCGGAAUAUUCCCGCAUCGAGGGGAUGGACCCAAGUGGUGGCGAACAACAAGGGGUGCAGCGCAUCCAUGGAUAGGGUGACGCCGAAGGAUUCUGUCGCCGCUGCCCCUACACCAGGCGCCGGCUCCUCCCUCCCCACCGGUGUAGGCCACCUCGUCGGCAGCUCCGUCCUCACCGGCUCAGCCGCCUAGACGAGAUAAGGUGCUUCUGGCCUCCCCUCCUCCUCUCCCUCUCCCGUCACAUUUUCUAUGCCUUCCAGUACAAUUCCCUUUCCUAUUCAUGCACAAAUUAUAUUGUUCUUAAUUUCAGUUAUUUGGUUGCAUAGCUCAUUGUUUUUACUUGUUGACAGUGGGAUUGGUCGGCUACCUAUCGAUUGUUCGUGGUUUUUGAUUGCUCUGGUUUUACCCCCAAAAAGUGUAAUGCUCUUUUAUUUUGAUUUUCGAAUUGUGUUUGAUGCAAACGUGAGUUUUACUCGUACAGGGAACAAGUUGAGAGAAGACUUCUUACAAUAUUGGUGAAGAACAAGGUGAUCUUUUCUUCUUCUGAAAGUAAUUAUUGAUACAGAAGUACAAUAUUUGUUCCCCUUUUGCUGUUUUGCACUCUGGAGCAAAAUAUAUGGGGGGAGUCCUCAUGAGCAUUUUCUACUUUCUAAGAUUUGGGCGAAUGUAAAAGCAAAGAAUCAAAGAUGUUCAUCUAUCUGAACGUCACCUUACUUUGAUGCUCUGAUCUCAAGGAAGUAUUGUGCAUUGGUGGUGGUCUGCUAUCAAAACCAAAGUGGCAUGCAUGUAGAAAUAGGUAUCGAGAAUAUUAUUCCUCCCCUGCAAAUGUACCAACAUCUAGAUUUACCAACAUGUCUAUUUAUUAACCAAUUGUUUGAACAAUUUUCCCAAAUUACAACAAUGCAUAUGUGUUUGUGUCUAUCCGACAUUACAUUACCUACAUGAACUUCAAUUUAAUUUAUGCUCCAGAUUUCGAAUGGAUUGCCCUUGUUGUAUAAAUUGCUUUCAUUUCAGUGCAUCUGCUGGGAUAUGUACAACAAUCGAGCGAACAUUGAGCCAACCAUUGACACAUAAAGCAUCUUUUGUGUGCAUCGGCCGGUGUUUGUGUUGCUUCUGAAUUUUUUUCAUGUGUGCAUCUUUUGUCUAUAUAAAUUGUAAAGCACGUGUAGGUGUUUGGUCCAUCUUUCCAUACGAACUUCUUUCAUAUAAGAAUCAUGGUCUAUGUAAACUACAUAAGCCGAUGUCUGGUAUUUCAUGGGAUCCAAAACUGAAUGCAAGUGUAUGUUCUGUU